UUGAAAGGGAAACGAUUGAAGUCAGUCGUACCAGCGGGAAAUCAACCUUUCGAGUGGGGGUUUGGAGUUUUGAAGUGUGUCAAAACCUUUGAGAUUUUAAAAUUUUCGCUCUUUUGGUGUACUUUCUCGUGGGUAGGUUAACAUCGAUUUUGAUCAUCAUAAAAAGACUGGAGGAAUGUAGCUUCGAUCUUGUAUUGAAGUGUUAUAGCCUUUGGUAAAUGUGAUGAUUAGGAUCGAGGAUUGCAACGAAUACCCUUCUGGGCUAUCCGCCUGAUCUCUGAUACGUGGCCUUGGCAUCGAAAGCUUGCUUAUGGUAUCAAGGUAUUACGGUCAAAAGGUUAGAACGGAUUACAUUCGUUAAGGAUGUUGACGUA
rnacentral:rRNA from 1 species